rnacentral:rRNA from 1 species
UACGAAGGGGGCAAGCGUUGUUCGGAAUUAUUGGGCGUAAAGGGUGCGUAGGCGGGUCUUUAAGUCAGGGGUGAAAUCCUGGAGCUCAACUCCAGAACUGCCUUUGAUACUGAGGAUCUUGAGUUCGGGAGAGGUGAGUGGAACUGCGAGUGUAGAGGUGAAAUUCGUAGAUAUUCGCAAGAACACCAGUGGCGAAGGCGGCUCACUGGCCCGAUACUGACGCUGAGGCACGAAAGCGUGGGGAGCAAACAGG